ensembl:lncRNA
UGAGUGUUGGAGUGUUCCCUGGCUAUCUGUAAUGAUGUCUGAGUGUUGGAGUGUUCCCCUGGCUAUCUGUAAAUGAUGUCUGAGUGUUGGAGUGUUCCCCUGGCUGUCUGUAAAUGAUGUCUGAGUGUUGGAGUGUUCCCCUGGCUGUCUGUAAAUGAUGUCUGAGUGUUGGAGUGUUCCCCUGGUUACCUGUAAAUUUUGCAAACAAGUAAACUGUGCCGUCUGGUUUGCUAAAUAUAAGGAAUUUGAAAUUAUUUAUACUUUUACUUUUACUUUUGAUACUUAAGUAUAUUUUAACAAUUACAUAUAUUUUUGAUAAUUAAGUACAUUUUAAACCAAAUAUUUUUAGACUUUAACUCAAGUAGUAUUUUACUAGGUGACCUUUACUUUUACUUGAGUCAUUUUCAAUUAAGGUAUCAUUACUUUUACUCAAGUAUGACAAUUGGGUACUUUCCACCACUGCCAGUACCCAGUCGAUGUGCAGGUGUACGAUGUAAUUGAGGUCGAUAUGUACAUAUAGGGAUAAAGUGACUAAGCAGCAGGAUAGAUAAUAAACCGUAGCAGCAGUGUAUGUGAAGAGUCCAAAAAAAGUUAGUGGAAUAAGGUUCAAUGCAGAUCAAUCUGGGUAGCUAUUUAACUAACUAUUUAACUAACUAUUUAACUAACUAUUUAGUAGUCUUAUGCCUUGGAGGUCGAAGCUGUUCAGGAUCCUGUUGGUUCCAGACUUGGUGCAUCGGAACCGCUCGCCGUGCGGUAGCAGAGAGAACUGUCUGUGACUGGGGUGGCUGGAGUCUUUGACUAUUGUUAGGACCUUCCUCUGACACCACCUGGGAUAGAGGUCCUUGAUGGCAGGAAGCUUGGUCCCAGUGAUGAACUGGGCCGUACACACUACCUUCUGUAGCGUCUUACGGUCAGAUGCCAAGCCGUUACCAUACCAAGUGGUGAAGCAGCCAGUCAAGAUGCUCUCAAUGGCGCAGCUGUAGAACUUUCUGAGGAUCUGAGGACUCAUGCUGAAUCUUCUUCCUGAGAGGAAAGAGGCGUUGUCAUGCUCUCUUCACGACUGUAUUGUGUGUGUGUGGACCAUGAUAAUUCCUUAUUGAUGUGGACACCAAGGAACUUUAAACUCUCGACUCGCUCCACUGCAGCCCCAUCAAUGUGCUCGGCUGACCUCCUCCCUAUAGGCUGUCUCAUCGUUGAGGGAGAGGUUGUUAUCCUGACACCACACUGCCAGGUCUCUGACCUCCUCCCUAUAGGCUGUCUCAUCGUUGAGGGAGAGGUUGUUAUCCUGACACCACACUGCCAGGUCUCUGACCUCCUCCCUAUAGGCUGUCUCAUCGUUGAGGGAGAGGUUGUUGUCCUGACACCACACUGCCAGGUCUCUGACCUCCUCCCUAUAGGCUGUCUCAUCAGGCCAACCACCGUCGAGUCGUCAGUAAACCUAAUGAUGGUGUUGGAGUCAUGCAAUCGUGGGUGAACAGGGGGUACAGGAAUCACCCCUGAGGGGUCCCCUUGUUGAGAGUCAGCGUGGUGGAUGUGUUGUCACCUACCCUUACCACCUGGGGGCGGCCCGUCAGGAAGUCCGGGAUCCACUUGCAGAGGGAGGUGUUCAGUCCCAGGGUCCUGAUCUUAGUGAUGAGUUUGAAGGGCACAAUGGUGUUGAAUGCUGAGCUAUCAAUGAGGGAUCAUAGCUUUCACCUGGAUUCACCUGGUCAGUCUAUGUCAUGGAAAAGAGCAUGUGUUCCUAAUGUUUUGUACACUCAGUUUAUAAUGUCCUUAUUCAGUCAUGAUUCUGAAAAGCAUAGGAUAUUACAGUUGUUGGGGUCUUGUUGAUGGGAUAGUCUCGAAUGGAUCUCGUCCAGGUUGUUGGGGUCUUGUUGAUGGGAUAGUCUCGAAUGGAUCUCGUCCGGGUUGUUGGGGUCUUGUUGAUGGGAUAGUCUCGAAUGGAUCUCGUCCGGGUUGUUGGGGUCUUGUUGAUGGGAUAGUCUCGAAUGGAUCUCGUCCGGGUUGUUGGGGUCUUGUUGAUAGGAUAGUCUCGAAUGGAUCUCGUCCGGGUUGUUGGGGUCUUGUUGAUAGGAUAGUCUCGAAUGGAUCUCGUCCGGGUUGUUGGGGUCUUGUUGAUAGGAUAGUCUCGAAUGGAUCUCAUCCGGGUUGUUGGGGUCUUGUUGAUGGGAUAGUCUCGAAUGGAUCUCGUCCGGGUUGUUGGGGUCUUGUUGAUAGGAUAGUCUCGAAUGGAUCUCGUCCGGGUUGUUGGCGUCUUGUUGAUGGGAUAGUCUCGAAUGGAUCUCGUCCGGGUUGUUCUCCAGUGUACAAUAGAACAGCGGAGAGGAGGAGGAGGAGGAGACGAGGAAGAUGAGGUUGUAGAGGUGGUUUAUUUAGCUCGUCUGCCUCUCUUCCUCUUUCCAGUCCCCGUGGAUUAGGGCCUGGUCCGGAACGAGCAGUACAUCCACAGCUGCCGACUCGUUGAAGUAGAAAUCCAAAUCCAAAUCGAGGUUAGUGAUCGCUGUUCUGAUGUCCAGAAGAUGUUUUCGGUUGUAGGAAAUGAUCUCGGAAACAUUAUGUAAAAUAAAUAAGUUAAGACCACUAAAAAAAAAAUGGUGGGGGGGGGCAGAAUUGGUCAGGAGCCUGCAAGACAGCAGCUGUCCACUGCAGUCCUGUCAUGUUCAGUUAUGACUGGGGGAGGGGAAGCUGAUCCUAGAUCUGUCCCUAGUGGAAACUUCACCCUGGUGCAGUGUGGUCGGAGCUCAAUCAAGUUCAUCCAAUCCCUCCACCCUCCACACCAUCAUAAGCCCCGUCCACUGCCAGGGUUGCUGGGAGUUGUAGGCGUCUGUUUGGAGUGUGUGACUGCAGCUGUGUGUGUCCUCUCCUGUUUUCUCUGCUGUAUCCAGCGAUAGCAAUAAUUCCUCUCACUCUACCUUUCUCUUGUUCUCAUUUUUCUGUUAUUAUCGAUCUCCCCCCCAUCCUUCUUGUUCACAACCCAGGCUAGGUUUGGUUCCUGUAGUGGUGUGAUGUGUGUGUGUGUGUGUUUGGUGUAGUCGUCUGUAUUACAGUAUUUGUUCUGUUUAGGAGGUUGUAGGUGGGAAGGGGGAUAGGGGG